rnacentral:rRNA from 1 species
UACGGAGGGGGCAAGCGUUGUUCGGAAUUACUGGGCGUAAAGGGCGCGUAGGCGGAUCGUUAUGUCAGGGGUGAAAGCCCUGGGCUCAACCCAGGAGUUGCCUUUGAGACGGACGGUCUUGAGUGCGGGAGAGGAUGGUGGAAUUCCCAGUGUAGAGGUGAAAUUCGUAGAUAUUGGGAAGAACACCGGAGGCGAAGGCGGCCAUCUGGACCGCAACUGACGCUGAGGCGCGAAAGCGUGGGGAGCAAACAGG